UACAAAGCAUGGCAAAAUGAGGAAACCACUGACAGGUGAAGAAUUUGCACAAUGGAAAACCACCUUGACCAUCUCAUGACUUUAUACAGGAAUCGGAGACAUCCAAGGCCAUUCCAUUUCUAAAUCACACUUAUCCCUCAAUCAAGUCAGUGACUGGAUCAUCUCCUAAGGUUUCACCUGCUUUGCAUCAGUGAGUUGGACUAUGGAUCAGGUACUGUGCUCAGCAUCAGAAAAUGGGAUGACAAUGAACAGAGUAACAGGACUAUAUUUCUGAAAAAGGAUGAACUUACUGGAAACAGGAUUGCGUGCCUGAAAUAUAUCCAAAUGGAUAUAAAUGUCAACUCAGUUCUGGGCUGGAGAUAUAGAUUUGGAAUGCACCAACAAUGCAGAUGGUAAUCCUGGCAUGCGAGUAGGUGAGAUCAUCCAGGGAGAUGGCCUAUAAUGAGAGCCUACAACAUGUCAGAUUCUGUUCACUCUCUGCUAUCAGUUGCUGUGUCCUUAAGGAAUGCAGACAAUGUUAAUUCAAGCAAAACAAUAGAAA
rnacentral:lncRNA from 10 species